UACUGCGGAAGUCUACACAUGUAGGUGUAGGUUUUCAGGACUUUGUAGGACAUACUGUCCUUUCCCUCUUGUUUUAAGGUAAGGAGUAACAGUGGAAAAUGUAUUUAAUAAUAUUGGAAUGGCAGGGUUUCUGCUUAUCAGAUAACAAAGGAAUGUCUUAGCAUCUUGAGCAGGUUAUGAUUUCCUUGAUAGAUGGUAUUAUUUUCUUUAAAAGGUUUAAUUUAGAAAGAAAUCCUAAUUAUUGCUCAGUGACAGUUGCUGAACUAGUGUCAUAAUUCACAUCUGUCAACUGCUAAGUACUUGUAAAGUUCAGUAUCUGCUGUACAAGCACAGUCGUGUUGCUUCUGGCCUAGCUUGUAUAAUGACAGUGUGGAAACUCCGCUCUGAUCUGCUUAUACAAGACUGAGACUGCAAAUCCUGCUGAAGAAAGGGAAAUAUUUUAAAAACAAAAAUUACUAAAGAAGAAAUGUGGAGACCAUUGACACAAAACCUGAUUGCAGGACAAAGAGGUCUAGGGGUAGCAGUGAAUAAGCCACGUGAGAACUCUCCUUAGAGCUCAGGGAAUCUGAAGAACAAAGGAAGUAAGUGACUGAAGACAAAGCAGAGGAAAAAAGAAAGGUCACACUGGAACCACUUUUUGAAACCAUUCCUGAGUUAGAGUUCACCUGUGGAGCCCCUCAGGUGGGCUUGUGGGAAGCUGAGAGUUAAGAAGCUGGAAGAAGGUUGGUUGAACUUUGUUUUUUUCUUUCCUUUUGCCUUUUUUCCGGUAAGUGGGGAAUGAAAUACCUGCUUGACUCAUUGAAGUCACAAAUAUGCGCAUGAUAAGACUAGUGAAUUAGUUUUGAAACUACCUUUUUUAUUAUUUGUGCAAUGCUAUGAUAACUAGAGAGCAUACUGUGUAACUGUAGUAAAUGGCCUUCUUUGUACAGUCUUGGUUUUUCAACUCAGCAGCGUGCAGGUCCGUCACAGAUGCGUGAUGGCCCUUCCUCUCUGUGUUCGGUGUCCCUGCAGGUGGCAAACCAGCCAGCAAGUCUACUAUAAUUUCAGAAACAUCCCUGUUGUUUGGAGAAGUGGUAAGAGAACUUUUUUGCAUCCAAAUGCCAGCCUUACAUAAUUCUGCAUUUAAAUGUGAAGGUAACUGCCAAAGGCAUAAAAUGACUCUACUUCAUAUAAAUUCUGUAUCUUGUUGCUUGCUCUGUGGUCCACAGUUUUAAAAUAGCAUUAAUACAAUAUUCAGUUUUGGCAAUGGAUGAAGUACAAUACAGAGUAAGAAUCAGUUUCAUUCUUGAUAAAACUCUUGCUCUACAAAGAAAUCAAACAUGAAGUCUCAAUAAUUCAGGUUACACUUGUCAUUUUACUCCUUAGUUCAUUAGUAUCGCUACCUAUUAGUUAAUGUGGCUUUAUUUGAGGCCUGUUUUAUAGAGGGAAAACACAUGCUAUUGUAGAUGCCUCACAAGAGUGAGAUUACUAAGAGAAGUUAGAUGUCAGAUUGCAGUCAGAAACGUUGGGAGCUAGGGAUUUUGUGUUUUUAUCUGUAGAUGAACAAGUUUCAAUAAGUCUAUAGAUAAAUGUUUUAAAUAAAGAAUAAAAAUAUUUUAAUUUGGAUAUUUUUAGUUAAGUCCUAAAUUUGAAAAAAAAAAAAAU